rnacentral:rRNA from 1 species
UGGGGCCGCGCCCGAUCUGGUUGUUGGUGAGGUAACGGCUCACCAAGCCUAUAACCGGUACGGGCCGUGAGAGCGGUAGCCCAGAGAUGGGUACUGAGACAAGGACCCAGGCCCUACGGGGCGCAGCAGUCGCGAAAACUCCGCAAUGCACGAAAGUGUGACGGGGCUACCCCGAGUGCCAUCCGCUGAGGAUGGCUUUUCUUUGGUAUAACUAGCCAUUGGAAUAAGGAGAGGGCAAGACUGGUGUCAGCCGCCGCGGUAAUACCAGCUCUCCGAGUGGUAGGGAUGAUUAUUGGGCUUAAAGCGUCCGUAGCCGGCUUAGCAAGUUUCCUGUUAAACUCAGCGACUCAAUCGUUGGAUCGCGGGAAAUACUACUAGGCUAGGAGGCGGGGAGAGGUC